GAGGGUAUAGCUCAAGUGGUAGAGCAGCAUGCUUAGCAUGCACAAGAUUCUGGGUUCAAUCCCCAGUACCUCUG
rnacentral:tRNA from 1 species